UUUGAAAAGGUGGAGGAGGGGGACUGUUUGAAAAGGUGGAGGAGGGGACUGUUAGAAAAGGUGGAGGAGGGGGACUGUUUGAAAAGGUGGAGGAGGACUGUUUGAAAAGGUGGAGGAGGGGACUGUUUGAAAAGGUGGAGGAGGACUGUUUGAAAAGGUGGUGGAGGGGACUGUUUGAAAAGGUGGAGGAGGGGGACUGUUUGAAAAGGUGGAGGAGGACUGUUUGAAAAGGUGGAGGAGGACUGUUAGAAAAGGUGGAGGAGGACUGUUUGAAAAGGUGGAGGAGGACUGUUUGAAAAGGUGGAGGAGGGGACUGUUUGAAAAGGUGGAGGAGGGGGCUGUUUGAAAAGGUGGAGGAGGACUGUUUGAAAAGGUGGAGGAGGACUGUUUGAAAAGGUGGAGGAGGACUGUUUGAAAAGGUGGAGGAGGGGACUGUUUGAAAAGGUGGAGGAGGGGGACUGUUUGAAAAGGUGGAGGAGGACUGUUUGAAAAGGUGGAGGAGGGGACUGUUUGAAAAGGUGGAGGAGGGGGACUGUUUGAAAAGGUGGAGGAGGACUGUUUGAAAAGGUGGAGGAGGGGGACUGUUUGAAAAGGUGGAGGAGGGGACUGUUUGAAAAGGUGGAGGAGGACUGUUUGAAAAGGUGGAGGAGGACUGUUUGAAAAGGUGGAGGAGGACUGUUAGAAAAGGUGGAGGAGGGGGAUCAUGUG